GAAAGUAGCCAAGUAUCGUCUUUAUUUUUAGCAAGGAAUUUGUAGCUCAGUUUGUUAAAUAACACUCUCUGCUACACCCAAGGUCUAAAUUCGAAUAUCUCCUUCCAAAGUUGAGAAAUCUAGUCCUCAUCGAAAUCCUUCAAAGUGUUCGGUGGUUCUUACCGAACAGAUGUAUUCACAGCGGGCAUUACUAUCGAACAUCUUUUUAAUCCAACGUGGCGUUAGAAGGGCCAUUUUCUUGGUACAUCACAUGCAGUGCACGUGACCACCCAACAUUUCACAAAUCGCGCGGGAUCCAACUGCCGUUGACAGAGACCAACUUCCUCCGCCUCCCUCAAACAAAUAGCAGCACCCCAAAAUUUUUGAAAUUACAUAACCAACCCCAGAUCUGAAAAUUCUCUUGCACCUCGAUCUCGGUACCCCUUUUUAGAUCCGAUAUCGCCUGAACCGGGUCAGAAAACAACAAUGGCGAAGGUCGAAGAAUUUAAGGACCCCAGCGUCGCGAAGAAUAAGAAGAAGAGGAGCCACGGCUCCACCGAGUUCUUCGUCUUCGUGGAUUACCUCUUCCUCUCGAUCUUCUUCGCGUUCCUCUGCUUCCUCAUCUUCAAGAUUGCAUCCGAUUUUUUCUCUCUCUAGACACCAGCAUUGUUUCGAAUCAGGUCCGACCAUUUUUGUUGAUUUGGGUACAGAAAAGAAACUUUUUGUGAUAAUUAAGUUAAGGAGCAGCUAAAUAGAUGGCUUAAUUUAAUAAAUGUCGAACCUUUAAUUUGUAUCCAUGAUGUAAUUGGAUGUAGCUUGAGUAACUGUAUCUGUAUUUAGUUGCAAAAUGUAAUGUUGUUGUUAUUGGAGCGAUAUUCUAUUCUAAUCUAAACCAGAGGAUGGGAAUUCGAACUUGGGUGGAGACGAGAAAGCACGCUGCUUUAGCCAACUUGGUUAGGCGAGGUCGGCGGUUGUAAUUGUAAUUGAAUGGAUAGGUAGAGUUAUCAAUAGGACUUUGAAUUCAUGGAAACUAAAAUGAAGUUUGGUAUCUGUGGAGUUGCAAUUUGUUCUCAUCUGGGUAGUUGUUGAAUUUGAUGGCUGGUGUUCAAUGUGAAAAUUCUGUGGUUGGUGCUGGUAUUUAUUAUAGGCAUAAAUACGGCUGUUGAAUGCCAAAUAUGGUAAGUUUCUGC